rnacentral:rRNA from 1 species
GAUGAACGCUGGCGGCGUGCCUAAUACAUGCAAGUCGAACGCACAGCGAAAGGUGCUUGCACCUUUCAAGUGAGUGGCGAACGGGUGAGUAACACGUGGAUAACCUACCUCAAGGUUGGGGAUAACAUUUGGAAACAGAUGCUAAUACCGAAUAAAACUUCGUAUCGCAUGAUACGAGGUUAAAAAGGCGCUACGGCGUCACCUAGAGAUGGAUCCGCGGUGCAUAGUUAGUUGGUGGGUAAGGCUACCAAGACAAUGAUGCAUAGCCGAGUUGAGAGACUGAUCGGCCACAUUGGACUGAGACACGG